GUUUUAAUAAUUUAAUAAAAAUACUGGUCUUGUAAACCAAAAACGAGUCAUAGACUCUUAAAACA
rnacentral:tRNA from 1 species